rnacentral:rRNA from 1 species
UACAGAGGGUGCAAGCGUUGUUCGGAAUUAUUGGGCGUAAAGGGCGCGUAGGCGGUGCCACAAGUCACCUGUGAAAUCCCCGGGCUUAACCUGGGAACUGCGCUUGUUACUGGCAGGCUUGAGUGUGGCAGAGGGGGGUGGAAUUCCACGUGUAGCAGUGAAAUGCGUAGAGAUGUGGAGGAACACCGAUGGCGAAGGCAGCCCCCUGGGCUAACACUGACGCUCAUGCACGAAAGCGUGGGGAGCAAACAGG